GCUACAUGGUAUCCGGGGCCUGCUCACGCGAGAGAGCGCAUGCAAAGGCUCAAGGAGACGCGAGCAACGAAUGGUUAAGGGACCGGGAGCCGACCUGGCCGGGAAAAGGUAGCAUCUACCUCCCCGGGCCUGCCGCACUCGUCUCCGGGCAGGUGGCCUUUGCAGUUGAGCUGCAGCAUAAGUUCUUCUGAGCCUGCAGCCUGAAGACUUUGGACUUAACAGCCAGCCUCUGUGAGAGAAGUUGGGCUCAUUGGCUGUAUAACAAACACGUUAUAAUAAACAUCUUCAUUUAGAAGCA